UACGUAGGGUGCAAGCGUUAAUCGGAAUUACUGGGCGUAAAGCGCGCGUAGGCGGCUUUGUAAGUUAGAGGUGAAAGCCCGGGGCUCAACCCCGGAACAGCCUUUAAGACUGCAUCGCUAGAAUCCGGGAGAGGUGAGUGGAAUUCCGAGUGUAGAGGUGAAAUUCGUAGAUAUUCGGAAGAACACCAGUGGCGAAGGCGGCUCACUGGACCGGCAUUGACGCUGAGGUGCGAAAGCGUGGGGAGCAAACAGG
rnacentral:rRNA from 1 species